GGCGCGGUGGCAGAGUGGUCAUGCGACGGAUUGCAAAUCCGUCCACGUUGGUUCGAUUCCAGCCCGCGCCUCCA
rnacentral:tRNA from 2 species